GAUGAACGCUGGCGGCGUGCCUAAUACAUGCAAGUCGAGCGAACAGACGAGGAGCUUGCUCCUCUGACGUUAGCGGCGGACGGGUGAGUAACACGUGGAUAACCUACCUAUAAGACUGGGAUAACUUCGGGAAACCGGAGCUAAUACCGGAUAAUAUAUUGAACCGCAUGGUUCAAUAGUUAAAGACGGUUUUGCUGUCACUUAUAGAUGGAUCCGCGCCGCAUUAGCUAGUUGGUAAGGUAACGGCUUACCAAGGCAACGAUGCGUAGCCGACCUGAGAGGGUGAUCGGCCACACUGGAACUGAGACACGGUCCAGACUCCUACGGGAGGCAGCAGUAGGGAAUCUUCCGCAAAGGGCGAAAGCCUGACGGAGCAACGCCGCGUGAGCGAUGAAGGUCUUCGGAUCGUAAAACUCUGUUAUUAGGGAAGAACAAAUGUGUAAGUAACUAUGCACGUCUUGACGGUACCUAAUCAGAAAGCCACGGCUAACUACGUG
rnacentral:rRNA from 1 species